AACGAACGCUGGCGGCAUGCUUAACACAUGCAAGUCGAACGGAGCUUUCGGGUUCAUCGGCGGACGGGGGAUUAACGCGUGGGGAUUUACCCUUCUGUACGUAAUCUUCCUCGUAAACUUGGGUUAAUACCGUAUACGCUGUUUAGUGGGAGGAAUUAUCGGUGUAUGAUUAGCGCGCGUUGGAUUAGGUAGUUGGUGGGGGAGUGGCCUCCCAAGCCGACGAUCCAUAGCUGGUUGGGGAAGAGGAACAUCCACACUUGCCCUGAGACACGGAGCAGUCUCGUACGGUAGGCAGCAGUGGGGAGUCUUAGGCAAUGAGGGCAAGUGUGAUAUAGCCAUGCCGGGUGAGUGAUGCAGGCCUUAGGGUUGUGAAGCUCUUUCAGCUGUGAAGAUAAUGACGGUACCAGCAGAAGAAGCCCCGGCUAACUACGUG
rnacentral:rRNA from 1 species